AGUGGAGAGAAACCAUAGCUGAAAAUACAUUGCUUUUUGUCAUCCACACAGAAAAAGCUACAGAGUGAGAACGGAGGUACCUGAUGAGAAUAUUGAUACUGGAUUUUGGGCUCAGGAAUGCGAGUGCAAGUAUACCCUGAAAGAUCUAUACAAUUUUUUUCACUUGCUUGACAAACCUCUUCCAAAAAUGAAGGAUUGGCUAUGACUACAGCAGCGUCUGAACCGGCUGUAUGCAAUUCUGGAGUGUCUUGGCAGAGGGAGGUGGGGCUUUGUUUUCAGAAUGAAAGUUUGUUGUUUUUGUUUGCUUGCUUCCUUGUUUGUAGCCGAAAGUAUAUUUUUGUAUUAUUGAACGUAUAAUUAUUUCAACUACAGAAACAUCAUAAGUGGGACUGUUUCUCAGGGCACUGUUGAGGCAGCAAAAUAGGUUUGUUUGUUUGUUUGUUUGUUUGUUUACCAGUAGUAUGGUCUUUCCUUUGUAAGUAGUAGUACUAAAG
ensembl:lncRNA